rnacentral:rRNA from 1 species
GACGAACGCUGGCGGCGUGCUUAACACAUGCAAGUCGAACGGUGAAGGGACUGGUUUUGCUGGUCCUGGAUGAGUGGCGAACGGGUGAGUAACACGUGAGUAACCUGCCCCCUUCUUCUGGAUAACCGCAUGAAAGUGUGGCUAAUACGGGAUAUUCUGGGUCUGUCGCAUGGUGGGCCUGGGAAAGAUUGCGCCUUUUUUGGUGUUGUUGGUGGGGGAUGGGCUCGCGGCCUAUCAGCCUGUUGGUGGGGUGAUGGCCUACCAAGGCGGUGACGGGUAGCCGGCCUGAGAGGGUGGACGGUCACACUGGGACUGAGACACGGCCCAGACUCCUACGGGAGGCAGCAGUGGGGAAUAUUGCACAAUGGGCGCAAGCCUGAUGCAGCGACGCCGCGUGAGGGAUGGAGGCCUUCGGGUUGUGAACCUCUUUCGCCAGUGAAGCAGGCCUGCCUCUUUUUGUGGGUGGGUUGACGGUAGCUGGAUAAGAAGCGCCGGCUAACUACGUG